ensembl:lncRNA
GAAGUGGUGGGAGAAAGAGUGAAACAGACUGCCAGAGGAAGAGGAAGAGAGAGGGAAGUGGUGGGAGAAAGAGUGAAACACAGACUGCCAGAGGAAGAGGAAGAGAGAGGGAAGUGGUGGGAGAAAGAGUGAAACACAGACUGCCAGAGGAAGAGGAAGAGAGAGGGAAGUGGUGGGAGAAAGAGUGAAACACAGACUGCCAGAGGAAGAGGAAGAGAGAGGGAAGUGGUGAAACACAGACUGCCAGAGGAAGAGAGUGAAAAAGACUGCCAGAGGAAGAGGAAGAGAAACAGACUGCCAGAGGAAGAGAGUGAAACAGACUGCCAGAGGAAGAGGAAGAGAGAGGGAAGUGGUGAGAGAAAGAGUGAAACAGACUGCCAGAGGAAGAGAGUGAAACAGACUGGAAGAGGAAGAGAGUGAAACAGACUGCCAGAGGAAGAGGGAGGAAAAAACAGACUGCCAGAGGAAGAGGAAGAGAGA